GGGCCAAGUGAGGGAAUAAACGCUGGCCACCGCAGCCAGCAGCCGCAACCCUCUAGGUCCCCUUCCAUGCUGUGGAAGCUUUGUUCUUUUGCCCUUUGCAAUCAAUCUUGCUGCUGCUUACUCUUUGGGGCCGCAGUACCUUUGUAAGCUGUAACACUCACCGCAAAGGUCUGCGGUUUCACUCCUGAAGCCAGUGAGACCACGAACCCACUGGGAGGAACGAACAACUCUGGACACACAGCCUUUAAGAGCUGUAACGCUCACUGCGAAGGUGUGCGGCUUCACUCCUGCAGUCAUCAAGACCACGAACCCACCAGAAGGAAGAAACUCUGGACACAUCUGAACAUCUGAAGGAACAAACUCCGGACACACCAUCUUUAAGAACUUUAACACUCACCGCAAGGGUCCACAGCGUCAUUCUUGAAGUCAGUGAGACCAAGAACCCACUGGAAGGAACUAAUUCUGGACACACUGUGAUCACAUCACUGUACUUCAGCCUGGGUGACACAGUGAGACCCUGUCUCUAAUUAAAAACAAAAAUUAGAAUAUUGCUCCUGUGCAAUAUCAAAUGCUUAGUGGAUCUAGGUGAUGAUUGUCAAUGACUGCUAAUAAUACAUGAAGAAACAACCACAUAUUAUAUACUACUAAUCUAUGGAAAUAAGGGAGGGAGAAAUACAUUGAGAAACACUGCAGGAAUGCUAUCAGAAAAGUCCAGAAUAUAAGAAAUUCUAUAUCAAAUAACAUUUUUCAACAAAAGAAACUGAGAGAAAAGAAAAAGAAAUGAAAGCACAAUUUGCAGGUUAAAAGAAGAGUCCUCAAGAAUCUGGGGAAGAGAACUGAAUGAAUGAGAGCUCGUGGCAGGAGGGAGAAUGUCCUCUGAAAGUUCAUGUUAUACUGGUGAUUCUUUCGUCUGUCUCAGAGAUGACAGCCUGCUAUACACCUUGUUGACCAAAAGCAACAUCAGGAUGAAGGCCCUGAUACACAGUGUUUGACUCUCUUGUCCUCUGACUUCUGCCACACACAAGGACACAGCGUUCAUCCCACUAAGAAGAAGAUGAAAAAGGGGAUAGCAUGCAGCCACAAGGAACAAUCUCAAAAGCAGAGAGAAGCCCUCACCAGACAACCACACCUGCAGACACCUUGAUCUUGAACUUCUCAGUGUCUAGAACUGUGAAAAAUAAAACUGUGGUCUUUAUAAAUUACCUGGUCUAAGGUACAAUCACAUGUCACUUAACAAUGUAGGGAUGGCCGGGCGUGGUGGCUCAUGCCUGUGAUAGCCCAGCACUUUGGGAGGCCAAAGCGGGCAGAUCACCUGAGGUCGGGAGUUCAAGACCAGCCUGGCCAACAUGGCGAAACUCUAUCUCUACUAAAGAUAUGAAAAUACAGUUGGCCGGGCUGGUGGCACAUGCCUGUAACCCCAGCUACUCAGGCUGAGGCAGGAGAAUCACUUGAACAUGGGAGGCGGAGGUUGCAGUGAGCCAAGAUCGCACCACUGCACUCCAGCCUCGGCAACAGAGUGAGACUCUGUUUCAAAAAAAAAAAAAAAAAGACAGUGUGGGGAUACAUUCUGAGAAAUGCGUUGUUAGGUGAUUUCCUUGUUGUGUGAACAUCACAGAGUGCACUUACACAAACCUAAAUGCUGUAACCUACUACACACCUGGGCUCGAUGGCAAAGCCUAUUCCUCCUGGGCUACAAAUCUGGACAGUAUCUUACUAUACUGAGUACCAUAGGCAACUGUACCACAAUGGUAAGUAUUUGUGUAUCUAAACACAGAAAAGAUACAGUAAAACUGAGGUAUGAGAGAGAAAAAAAUAGUACACCUUUACAGGUGUACAGACACUUACCACGAAUGGAGCUUGCAGGCCUGGAAGUUGCUCUGGGUGAGACAGUGAGUGAGUGGUGAGCGAAGCUGAAGGCCUAGGACAUUACUGCACACUACUGUAGACUUUGUAAACACUGUAGGCUUUGUAAACAUGCUACACUUAGGCUACACUGAAUUUAUUUUUAUAAAAAUAAAGUAAUUGCACUACGACAUUAUGAUGGCUAUGACAUCGCUAGGUGAUAGGAAUUUUUCAGUUCCAUUAUAAUCUUAUAGGACUACAGUCACAUACGCAGUCUGUUGACCAAAACAUUAUGCAUCUCAUGAUCGUAUUUUAUUACAGCAGAAGAAAUGGACUAAGACACUCCUGCCGCAGGGAUACCUACUAUGUCAGCAGAGCCAGCAGCACCUUGUCUAUGUCUGAGAGAGACUCCAUUGUGGCCUCCUCACCAGUUCACUAGGUGUCUCCUCCAGGAUCCUACAGACUAAAUCCAAUGAUGGGUGAAGUUCCCACAGACAGCCUUAAGAGGGGAAGUACUGGCCAGCAGCAGACAGCCACAACCUCAGAGAGCCAGGUGGGACCAGAUGUUUGCCUACUGGGUGCCGGAUCUACUAUCAUGGUCCAGGGACCCUCAAGGGUAGGGGCCACACACAAGAGCCCCAGUGGCCUACCUGGUGGUUUGGCAGGUAGAAGAGUCCUAGACAGUGCCCAAUGGGCCUCUUCAAGGACAGGCCAAAUCCAUGUUCAAGAUAUAGGCCAGCCCUCUAAGAAAAGAGGAAGAGGAAAUCCAAAAAAAAAAAAAAGAGGCCAAAAAUUCAAGACUUUGGAGGCACCAAUUUGUCUGGCAAUAACCAAUCUGAAAGUAAUACUGGAAUGGGGUGCUAGGGAUCUGCUGAGGUGCCAGGCAUUACUUCUUCUGUUGCUGGACUAGAGAGGAGGUCUAGAAUCCCUUCCCCCUUGGCCCUGGAGAAGGAACAAGGAUGGCCAUGUAAGUAGAGGACAUUGGCUACCUACCAAUCAGUAGGUGAGUUUUAUACUUUAAUAUAUGGUUAAAUACCAGAUCUGCCCUGGAACAUUGUAAGUGUUCAACAAACAUUAGUUAUUAUGAUAUAUGCUAUGAUCAUAAUAUGAACUUUAUGAUGAUUUUUUUUUUGCAGUGUGUUGUUAUUUUAAAUAGGCAGGCUAAGCAACUACUGUCAUCUCCUUUAACAAAUGAAGAAAUUGAGGCCAAUGAGGUUAAAUAACUCAAAUUCACAGUUAAAUACAUCUGUGUCUUCUUUUUUUAAGACUAGGUCUCACUCUGUCACCCAAGAUAGAGUGAAUAGUGCCAUCGUAGCUCACUACAGCCUUGAACCCCUGGGCCCAGGUGAUUCUCCCACCUCAUCACUCCCCUAACCCCAAGAACCUAGGACUGCAAGUGAAUAUUGACAUACCCAGCUAAUUUUUAAUUUUUUCUUAGGGACAGAGUCUCACUGUUUCCCAGGCUGAUCUUGAACUCCUGGCCUCAAAUGAUUCUCCCACUGUGGCCUACCAAAGUUCAUGGAUUACAGGUGUGAGCCACCAUGCCCAGCCCAUGUCUUUUCAUGUAUGUUUCAAUGCACCUUUCCAUCUACCCUCAUGUAGAUGAAGGAUUAAAAUGAUGGGGAAGUACAGAUGUGAAAGGGUGGAUAGAGGGAUACAGCUGAAAAAAUAACAAGCUUGAAAUAUAUGUAUAUCUAAACCAGAUUCAAGAAGUAGAAAGCAACUAAAAAUAGAGGAAUACAAUCAGAUAUGGCAAGGUUCAAUGUGCAGGAGAAAUUGAGAGAACCUAUGGUUUCAUGAAAGAUAUAUCAAAUUUUCUUAACCUUGUAAGUUAUAUAUCCACAAGUCAAAAAAAAUUCAACAUUUUGUGAGAAAUCCUAGUUUAAAGCCAAUGACAUAAUGUGAUUUCUAUUGUUUCCUUUUACUUUCAAAAGUGUUCUAAUUUGGGUAAUAAAUUAUAUGCUUACUCUUUAUACUUAAAUUGAUGAUAUGUGGUCUCAUGGAAGGUGGACCAUUUUUUGAAAGCCCUUUAUCAUCAGACUGACUGUGGUUCUAAAAUACUAACAAUUCAGAGAAUAAAAUAGUCUGAAGAUGGGUGGGAAAGACCACAAGUAUAGACAGAGGGCUACUGGAGUUCACAGGAGAGAAAACCUUUGAGAUGGUUGGGAAAUGAAUCUGUACAUCCCUAUAAGCAAUAAAAGGACACCACUGACAUGAAUAGUUCAGUCCUUAAGCAGAACAUCACCUCACUCUGAGGACAAAGGAGGUCACUGGCACUCUUGUCCUUUUCCUAUUUUCUCUCCCUGUGAGAACAUCAAAGGAUUAGGAGCUGAGAAAUUUUGCAAGCGAUCUGAGAUGAUAAUAAAAGGGUUAAAAAGAGGCUCUUUGUGAUGAAAGAGGAGCCAAGAAGAAGGAGAAAACUUCUUUAGCACAAUAAAAAAGAGUUAUGUUUUAUAAGAAGUAGAAUCAAUGUUAUACAAUAAAAUCAAUAUACUAUUUUCAGAUGAACAUAAGCUGCACUGUCUUUGGAAUAAAAUUAGUUGUUCUUGUACAGAACAAUUGUCAAUUUAGGGCUACACUGCAUCCAUUACUUUUUCCCACAGGCUUUUCAUUUUUC
rnacentral:lncRNA from 1 species